CCCGCCUCCAGCCAGCAGGCCCCGCCUCCUCCGCUCCUCUCCCUUCGUGGCGGGCGUCCGCGUCUCUGGUCUGGAGAGAAGGCUCCGAAAUCCGUCUGCGCGAUGGCAGCUUCGCCCUCGCUGUGGUGCAGCAUCUCUCCUGCAGUGUCCUGUUCAAGACAGGCACACUCCACCCAGGCUUGAGAGGAGGCAAGCAGAUUCUGAGGUGUUGGAGCUGCUGAAAUACCCUAGGAACAGCUAAAGGGAUCCGGGAUCCUUGUGCUUGCGAGGCAGGCAGCAGAACCACUGAGCUAAAUCCCUGGCCCUUAAG
ensembl:lncRNA